ACGGCACAUCUUACAGAAAUCUGAGCAUCUUACUUUUUGUUAGUUCUCCUCACCGCUCUCCCCUACUCUCUCUCUCUCUGGAUUCACGGCGCGCGGUCGUGUUGUUAGGGUUUCCAGCUGGUGGAUCUGGAGCUGACGCUCCUCUUCUACUCUAGGUUGUGUAAUCUCUGUAUUCGACAUAGUUGUGCUCGAGUUUGUUCGUCGUGUUUGGCGAUCUGAUCCGACCCAUUGUCAGAACUUCAACGUACCAACACCUGAUUGUUCUUUCAGUAACAAAAGAAUGGUGGUGGAGAUAGGCGCAGAUUCAGUUCUAGAUUAUGCACUUUUUAACAUAUCAUCAGCCGAGAACAGGUACGAGGUUUUCAUUUGUAAAGGAGGCAAACUUGAAAACUUAGCAUGUGGUCCUCUGGAUCAGCUAGCAAUACAUUUAGCUCAACUGAAGAAAUUUCAGUCAAACCUAUCAUUCAGUAAAUUUAAGUUGGAAUUGACUAAUAACAUCAAAAGCUCAUCUUGGUUCACCAAAUUCACUUUGACAAGUUUUUUAGGUAUUAUUAAUUCCCCUGAUGUAGUAAGAACCGCCACUGCAAUUGUAAAUGAGAUGUCCCAGUUGGAGGAUACUAGAAGGUUUCAUCUCUCUCUUUAUUUUAAGAGUCAUUCAAAUCAUGCUGGAGACACUACAGCAGGUGGCCACUUUGAAGGUGUUGGACCAACAAAUACAGAAAUUGAGGCAGAGGCAUCUGAUGCUACAAAGAAUGAAUUGCUGCGUGCAAUAGAAUUGAGGAUUGUUGGUCUGAAAGAAGAGUUAGUGGCAUUGUUUAGCCAAGCUGCUGGUGCUACUUUGUCUGUGAAACACUUAUCUGAUCUAGCAAAGUUUUCACAACAUUUUCAAGUGAGAGAUUUGAGGGAUGCUUUAUCCAAGUACUUAUCAUUGAUUUCAGAAGAACAACUCUCUGAAUCCUCAGUUAAAGCAAAAGACUUUGAUGGUUCAAAGAAAAACCCAGAGGACCCUGAGGAUAUUAUAGAAGGAAUGUAUCCCUCAAAUGCAUUGAUUGGUAGACCAAACACUUCUACUGAAGGCAUCUCUCCAGCAAAAAUUGCACAAGUUGAGCGGAUGAGCUUGACGGAAAGUGAUAAUUCCUCUGAGUCUACAAAUGAAGAUCAGACAGUCACUGAAAGAAGCAGACCUAUUAUGAGGUCGGUAACCCCAAGAAGAUCUGCCUCUCCCAUGCGACGAGUACAAAUCGGAAGGUCUGGAUCUCGGAGAUCUACUGCACUGAGCAUUAAGAGCCUUAGUUACUUUCCUGCCAGAGAGAAAAUUCUAACCACCAAGGAUGCUGAUGAAAACAACAGUGGAGAUGAGCAAACUGAUCAGCCAGCUAAGAAAUCUGAGAAUACAAUAAGAAGGAUGAGUGUCCAAGAGGCAAUUAGCCUCUUUGAAAGCAAACAAAAAGAUAACAAUUUGGAUGCUCAGAAAAGGAUCGCUUCAGGAGACAGCUCUGUGAUCAACAAUAAAACUGUAUUGAGAAGAUGGAAUUCUGGUUUGACCAAUUCUCUGACUCAUGGCCAGGGAAAUGCUUAUGAGCCCGUAUCUCAAAGCAGUUGUGUUUUACAUGUGGAAGAAGAUAAUAAGAUGAUUGCUGAGAACAUUGAUUCUUUUCCUACUCCAGCCGAUUUGAAUUCUGCUUCUGAAACUACUCAGAUUGCUUCAUUGCCUAAAAUAGAGACAGCGGCAGUUUCAAAGGAUGUCACUUCUGAGUUAGCAUCAUCCCAAACUGCUGAAAUUGAUGGGGCUGCUACCUCAGCAGAUUGGGGUAAGCAGAAGGAAGCAGAGCUCAGCCAAAUGCUAAUGAAGAUGAUUGAGAGCAAACCAGGGAAGUAUAUUGAUCCUAAUACUGGUUCUGGUGGGUCCUUGUCUACAUCUAACAAACAGAAAGGAGGAUUUUAUAGUCAGUAUACGGCAAAACGAGAUGAGAAACUUCGGGCAGAAAAUGCUAACAAACAUUUGGCGAUGGAACAAAAACUUAAGGUGUUACAGGAAACCUUGAAACCAAGCAAAACAGAGCUGGUCUCAAAAUCUGGGGUCACUGCUAAAAAGUUUGAUAGUUUGGUUAGAUCUCAAAGACCUCGGAGAAAUUCUUCUCCGCCAGUGUUACCAAAAAAAGAAGUUUCAAAAUUAGAAGUAUCCAAACAAACAUCAGUUAAACCAUCAUCUUUGUCAAUGACACGGGCUUCAUGGUCAUCUGGCUCAUUGCCGAAGACAAAUGGAGCACAACCAGUUAAAAGUUCUUCUAAAGUGUCCUUUGAUACUACUCCAAGCCGUCGGAGAUCUCAUCUUGUUUCUCCAACACCACCUAGCCCCAAAAUUGAAAAGCCAUUGCAUCAACCAAGAGAGGAGCCAGAAGCCAAAACUGACACUAAACGAAUUAACAGAGUUCAAGGAGAAAAGAAACACAAAACUCCAGUGAGUACUAAGAUAAUUGUGAAAGCCAAAAAUCCAACUGCUUCUCCAGAUGAAUCUGGUUCAUCAGCGGCAAAACCAAGUUUCUAUGACAAGGUGACAAAGAAAGGCAGUGUUGUUCCUUUGGAGGCCAAAUCUGCUAGAAAGGUUUCUGGGACUGGGCGUGUGGGUGGUCGCAGUUUAACUAAGUCUAGAAUUAUCCAGUCUGAUGCUUCAGCUAAGAAAAGUGACAAUUCCAUUCAAGUUGAAGAAAAGGAGCAGACACCUGAGAUAAUUGAUAAGGUACUGGAGGCUGAUCUUGCUGAACAAGCAAAUGAUCUUGAUGCAAAUUUAGUUACUUCACUAGAUAAUUGUUUGAAUCUUGAAAAAACAGAAACUGGGGAUCAAAGUUUAGCUGAUGUGGAUGUCAACCAUAACUCUCUAGAAAUUCCGGUUGCUGAGAUUCAACCUGAUGAGGAUAUAAGCAUUUCAUCAGCUGCAUGGGUGGAACUAGAACAAUGUGAAGUUUCCACUGCAUAUGACACCGGAUUGACCAAUGCUUCUGUCUCGAAUGUUCUUGAACCAUCACUUGUAUCAAGUUCUCAUGUCCGACAUUCAUUAUCUCAAAUGCUUCAAGCUGAUAGUAAUGAACCAGAUGUUAUUGAGUGGGGGAAUGCUGAGAACCCUCCUGCAUUGAUCUACCACAAAGAUUCUCCCAAGGGAUUGAAGAGGCUCUUGAAGUUUGCCCGUAAAAAUAAGGGAGAGGCAAAUGUGACUGGUUAUGCUAGCCCAUCUGUCAAUUCUGAAGGAGAGGAAGAUGCAGAAGAUCCAAAAGCUACUUGCAAAAAGAACUUUGAUACGUCAAGAAGGACUUCUCUUCAGGAGAAGCGCUACAGUCAGCUAAAAACUAUGGUUAAUGAAGGCUUGCUUGAUGGCAACUCAAGCAAGAGGACAGGGGAGUAUCAAGGAGUUCAUGAUGUAUUGUCAGGUUCAUCAGCAACAAUGUCAACUAAAGCAGCUAGGUCAUUCUUCUCUCUCUCAACAUUUAGGAGCAGCAAAUCAAACGAGACGAAGCCUCGAUAGUUUGUGACAGCACAGGUUGCCUGAGCAGUAAGUUUCUUCCAAAAUUGCAACUUGGUGUAGAGUGGCCAUUGUGAUUUUGACAAAUGCAGGCACAUCAGCCACUUGUUUGAUAGAGCAUUGUUGUUCUGCUCCUGUGUGUUUCUUCCUCUUUUCUCUUGAACAAGUUUUUCUGAGAAUGAUAGCUUGAUUUGAUGUAACGUCAAAGCGAAUAGGUGCCCAUCAGUUUGAGAAAAACUGAUUAUUGAUGCCCGAGAACUAGAUUGGUUAAGCUUCCAAUAUACAUGCAUCAAGUCAGUGUAUCUGCUUUGCUUUAGUGAUCGAAGUUACGAUAGGUAACCAACUUGAACCAGGUUAGAGCUUGGUUAAGAUUGGAUUCAAGACAGCAAGAUUUGCAUGUCAAAGAUCAUGUUGUAGAAGAGGGCUUCUCAAAGUGCCUACAGUGGUGGAAGAAUUGUGGGAGGAAGAAUGCAUACGAUGACGGAGCAUCGCUGGAAGGAAAAGUCUGACUAGCUGGUGGGAAUCUCUUAUCAUGGAGCAUCAGUGGUUUACUUAACUUUGUAGUGGAAGUUGGUCCUUUGCUAGCAUGACUUAUCAUACACAUACAAUCAGGGUAAUGUAUUCGUGUUACCCUCUUGUGUUUUUCAUAGGGGCUUUGAAAAUCAAUCUGAAAAUCUCUCUUUUGUCAAUGCUGGGCAAAGCUUUCUUUUUUUUAAACCAUUUUCAAAUAGAUACAAUCAGGGUAAUGUAUUCGUGUUACCCUCUUGUGUUUUUCAUAGGGGCUUUGAAAAUCAAUCUGAAAAUCUCUCUUUUGUCAA